rnacentral:rRNA from 1 species
CCUACGGGAGGCAGCAGUGAGGAAUAUUGGUCAAUGGGCGGAAGCCUGAACCAGCCAAGUCGCGUGAGGGAUUAAGGCCCUGCGGGUCGUAAACCUCUUUAGGCGGGGAGCAAUGCCGGGCACGCGUGCCCGGAGGGAGAGUACCCGCAGAAUAAGCAUCGGCUAACUCCGUGCCAGCAGCCGCGGUAAUACGGAGGAUGCGAGCGUUAUCCGGAUUUAUUGGGUUAAAGGGGUGCUGAGGCGGAAGGUUAAGUCGACGGUCAAAUGGCGGUGCUCAACACCGGCCUGCCGUUGAAACUGGUCUUCUUGAGUGAGCGAGAAGUAUGCGGAAUGCGUGGUGUAGCGGUGAAAUGCAUAGAUAUCACGCAGAACUCCGAUUGCGAAGGCAGCAUACCGGCGCUCAACUGACGCUGAGGCACGAAAGCGUGGGGAUCGAACAGGAUUAGAUACCCGAGUAGUC